AAUUUCCACAAAAACUCUGUUUCAUUUUCACUCAACAAUGUAAAUGUUAUUUUUAUUUAUUGUAGUUCUGAAGAUGGCCCAAAACCAAGGAGCCGAAACGUCAAAUAAAAAUUGACUAAAAUCCAUUACUUAGGUUGUCUGCUUUACAAAACCCGGUCAUUAA